AUGAUAUAUGUAGCGUGACUACAAAAUGUUUUCUUCUCUUUCUGGUAACACACAUCAACUUAUUUCUCUCUCAGUCUCCCUCAUGGAAAUGAACGCCUGCACUCAAGCCAGAACCUGUGGUUUCUGCUCCUUCUUCUGUCACACUCAGUCCAGUGGCUGUGAUCGCUGUUUGUCAGGGAACUUCACAGGUGUCUUCUUAUGUCAAGUGAAACUGGACAGUGCUCUGGAAUGACAGCCGCUCCUGAACACUGGUGAGCCUCCAGCUGCCACGCCUACCAGCUGAUUGACCAGUGGAAGAUGAAUGGAGACAGUGAAGCCUGGCAAAGGUAAGCUGCUUUUGAUGGGAGGGAUUCACUUACUCCCAGGAGCCCCAUUCUUAUACACCCUCUGUGCCAGAGUGAAUUAAAAUCCAUUCCUUAGUACAUGACUAUAAAGGGAUCAUGGGAGUAGAUCAUCACUGAUUUGCUUCUCGAAGUCUGAGAAGUCCUGGGUAGAGUAUUACUCCCUCAGUUUGUCCAUGGGACAGGAUACUCCACAGUGUACUGUAGCUGUAAGGAAGUCUUGGAGCCUUGUCUUAGCUGUGCGAUUCACAGCUUAAGGACCACCUUGCACUUUUGUGCCUCACUUUCUCCAUCUGUCAAACUCAUUUGUGCCUCACUUUCUCCAUCUGUCAACUGAGUGCUUCAGGCUUAGAGAGUGUGACUCAUUUGGCAAAAUGACAUUGCCCUUGGACUACUUCUGCUAUUUCACUUAAAGUCCUUGGUUUUGGUUCCCUUCUAGGGUCUUCGCUUUCUAGGGCCUUGUACACAUCACCACUAUUAGGAGGAACAUCCCCAGAGGUUCUGAAUCUAACACCCUGUGAGAAAUCAAACAGUCUAAGCCCUGGGGAAGGUGUUUUGAUUUUUCAAAACACAGCUGAGAGAGAAACAAUACUUCUCUGUGUUCCCCUCUGCUCCUCCCACCUGGCCAAGGGGAAUGAGUGCUUUUACACCAUGCUCCUUUCAGGAAACUGGAAAACAAUGGAAAAAAAAUCACCGACAGCUCUACAAAGAGCUGGGAUUGCACAAAAGUCACCUUGAACUCAGGCCUCAGGAUCCCAAGUUGUUGGAGCCAGCGGUUGUCAGCAGGAGCUGGCGAGACAAGUGUUGUUGGAAUAUUUCUGUUUAGUUCUAAGUCUUCCUCUUUUAUUUUCUUCCCUUAAGGAAAGGAAUGCAACAGGAGAGAGCAACUUUAUUUAUUUUCUUGACAUUCCUUCAUCUGCAGAGCAUUAGCUGCCUGUUUGUUAUGGUCCUGGCUUGCUACUGAGCCAGCAGGGAGGAAAUUGGAGGUAUAGGCAGAACGAUUACUUGGUUUGAAAAGACAACAGUGCCGCCAGAUUAAGUCCACAAGUCAAGUCUCAGACUGGUGCCUAUUGGACAAGACUUUGUAAACAGGGACCCGCAUUACCUGGAUCAUAAUGUGAGACUGAUCUUCCCUUCUCACUCCAAAGGGCAUGUUUAAAUGAACGUGGCAUUUAAAUGAGAUGGCAUUUUGUGCUGUGUAUCUCUCUUAAAAAGUCACUCAUUGCAUUUCUGACCUACGAAGGAACCCUGAUUCUCCCCCAUUCUUGGAACUUCUCUCUGUAUUGCAGAUGAGUUUAGUGAGAGAAGCAGAGAGCAUCGACCUUGUAUUCCCAAGCAAUGGAGCUUAGGUCAACUCUUAAGCUCAGCCAGAGGAAUUGAUGUUACCGUCUUUGUGAUGUUUUAUGUAUGAAUUUACCAUGCUAACCUCAUGUGUAUUCUUAUAGGAUCAGAGCUCAUUAGGGACAGGAAACAUGUCCCCAUAGAAAGUGUAAUUCUCUCAGGACAUGUUGCCUCUUCUUGUAAGAGUUUAUGUCCUAUCUGGGAUAACUGGUCUCUUAGCCUCCCAUGUGGUCAGACACAGACCGGUUUCUGUCCUAGUUGUCAUCUUGGGACAAUGAUACUUGUUAUGACUUAAUUGGUUUGGUGCCAAGAACCUGUCAAUGGACAUUGUAGCAGUGGCUAGAGUGUCAUUUUUGCCACUUUUGCAAAAUGAUUUUUAAUGGCAAAAAAAUAGGUUGGAGACAGUUUUAUUUUGGACUUCAGUUAUUUUUCUAUAUCAUUUUAUCUAACCUCCCUACAUCCCCAUUCAGAAAUGCUCCAGGAUCCUAAAAAAGUCUAUUUCCUGUUGUACUUAAGAUCUUCCAGCCUUUUUUAAAAGGUUGCAGCUAGGAUGUAUAAACAAGAAAAAUGUGUAAGGAUGCCUGGGGGUGCCUUGUACAUGGUGGGGUAAGGUCUGUCCUAGAGCCUUGCCUUUGCUUCUGGGCAAACUCUGGGAGCUGGUGCCCUCAGAGUCUGUAGGACACUAGCACUGUAACUUGUUCCCGUAUCUGUCCUUCUUCCAAAGUCUUGGAUUAAUGGCAGGUUGGUUAUCAUUUAAAGUAUUCUUUGAUUAUAACUGGGAGGUAAAAGUUACAAGGCUGCCAUAUUUGGCUUAACGUGGUCUUCUUUUUAAUUCAAAGGAAGACAAUAUUGAGAAGGAACAAGGCAUGAUGAGCAGGCGUUUGGAGCUUCUGCUCACUUUGUGACAAGAAAUUGUCAUUAUCUUGAGAAUUCCUGAGACUCAGGGCAAACCUCAGCUAUAAAUAAUUCUUAUGUUGGAAAAGCAACAUGGCAACCUGUGGAAGUGGUGAUAUAGUUCAAGGAAAACUAGCUUUGUGGUUGCAAGAUCUGGGUUCUUGGAAUGCGGCUGUCCCUUAUUAGCUCUGUGAUUAGCAAGUCACAAUCUCAUGAGGCUCUGCUUCCUCUUCUGUCAAGUGUGAAUAAUAAUACUUGCUCUGGUUGCUGCAUGGGGUUGUUCUGAAAAUGCAAACAGACAAAGGAAAGUUUUGUCUAACAUGGGUUAUAAAAUCAGUAUCUAUGAGGAAAACAAAGGAUGGCAAAAUUAUCUUUACAAAUACUAAAAUUCUGAGUGAGAGACAAAUAUUCUGUCUCCUAGUAAGUCCAAUGCAAUGAGCAGUUUUUUUUUAUUUUCCAGUCCUGGGACAAGUCACUGUUGCUUCAGUUGAGCGUAAGGUGAAGCACUUGGUUUGUGUUUGGAGUCUCUGUUGUACAAACACUUGAAUUUCGAUUUAAAUGAUGAGAGUCUCCUAAAAUGAGGGACUUAUAAGCAAGGGAAGCUGCUGGUGGGAAAGCACAGACACGCUACACGUCUCGGACUCGUGGAAGGAAAUGGCAGAUGGAACUACCUGUACUGUGCAUUGUUCCUCUCUUUCUUGUGCCUGUUUUAUUGCCUCCUGAGUGUAAACAUGAAUUCUUUUUAAAAAUGAAUACAUGUGACUAUAUUGCAAUAAAAACUUUAGAAAAAAACAUAAAAGGCCUAUACCAAGGAAAGAUGAAGUUGGAGCAAAAAUAUAGAGAAGAGGGCUGCCUAGACGGUUGCAUCAGAACCAUCUGGUUAGCCCCGAUUCUGCUUGAGGAGGAGGAGCAAGCCAGGGCGUGAAUGCUGAGGCCAGGGCUGCUGACUGCUUCAAGUGACAUUGCAGAUGCACAACGGGCUGUGUGCGUGCACGUGUGCAGUGUGAAGGGCUUUGUCAAAUGUUUGCUCACGAAACCAUCGCUGCGAUCAAAAGAGCAAGCAUUUCCAACAGUUCCGGAAGUCCCUCAUGCCCUUUUGUAACGCACCCCUUUCUCCACCCUCAUUCUCUGGCAACCACUGAUCUAUUGUUUGCCACUACCUAUUAUUUACCUGUCGCUCCCCCUCUUCGUGGAGGAGCAACACUGAACCCUGCGCUGUUCUUUCGUCUGCUCGGCCCUCCCCGGGUUGGCUGCUGGUUCUUCCCGGGUUGGCUACUAUCCCUUCCACCUCCGUGGAAGGGCAGUUCCCCCUGGCCACAUUCCCCACUUCCGCAGGGGAGCGGCACACCGCCGGCCGGCUCUCUGGGGGGCUGCACGGGUUCCCUUAGAUGUUCCCCAUAGAUGUUCCCGGUGCAUGCCGUUUCUCUCCUCCUUUAUAGUCCUCCUCCGCCAAUCCCAACUCGGCUGCCCACACGCCGAGUACGCUGCUCUCCAAUCAGGAGCAAGUCCUACAGUUAAUUGGUUGAACUGGAGGCAGCUGUGCGGAAGCUGUUUACUUCUCUCCCAGCGCCAUAUUGUGGGAGAGCAGAUGCAUAGAAUAAGUCUUAAUUCCAGUAACAGUCUAGUCCGGUUUGCUCCCCACAGAUCCCCCUUUCUUUUUAUUUUUUAGCGUUGAUACGCGCCUGUCUUCGGUGUCCCGCGGCACACACUCUGCUCUACUUGCUAGAGUUGCCACAGGCUCUUACAAGUCCUAUCAGGCAAACCGAAUCCGGGUCCUCUCUUCGCCAUUGUGAGGAGGUUUUUAGGCGCUGAUGCGUGCCUGUGUUCGGUGCCCUGCAGCGCAUACUCUGGUCGAGCUUUGCUGGCGCUUACCGCCUUAAAUCAGGCAGACCGAAUCCAAGCCUCCUAAUUGUUGCAUUGUGGGGAAGCUUUACUGAUGUUAAUUCGUGCCUGUCUUCGGUGACCUGCGGCUAGCCGCCCAGGUGCUCAUCGCCUCACUAAUCGGGCAGACCGAAUCCAAGCCUUCUAAUUGGCAUGUUGAGGGGAGGCCUUAUUUUUCUCUAUUUCUCUAUCUCCGGGCAUUCCUACCUCUCCCAUUUCACUUCUAUCUUCCAGCAUUCCCAUUUCUCUUUUACUUCACUUCCAAACUUCUGUUUCUCUUAUCCCCGCAGCUUCCCGGCACCUCGCCGCUUCAGCCCGCGCGCCUCUCUCAUCUGCACAGCUUCCCGGCUUUGCGCGGCUCGGCUUCGCGCGCUCCGCGGUCUCCACGCUUAACCCUUUCGCGUCUGAACCACGGCCUACGCCAGCGUUCCCUAUCUAUUCACGCCCCGUGCUCUCUCUGCACGCGGCGGCUUCCGCGAGUAACACAGCGUAGCUUGCGUCUCCACCACUAGCAUUCAAUCCAAGUUCCCCGGGCUAGCCUGGCGAAUUCAACCCAGCGUACGUCUCCGCCCCACGGUUUGGCUUCCCGUCCUUUGCUCCCCGGGCUAAUCAGACGGAUCCCAACCUGGCUUGCGUCUCAGCUUCUGGUUUCAACUUUUCGCCCCCUAUUCCCGGGCUAACUUGAGAACCCCAAAGUGGCUUUCGUUUCCGCCUUGGCCUGCCCCCCGCGGCUUCAAUUUCCCUAACAUUUUUCUCUACCCGGUAUGUUUCCCCAAGCUUUCCUCCAACGAUAUUCCUCCCUCAUUUCUCCUGGCCUCUCCCCACAGUCCGCGUCCGAGUCUGUUUGUUCUAGCUUUCACUUUCGCUUUUGACCUUAGAGAUUUCUCCCAGCUUCCCCCCGUAGUCCGUAUCCGAGUCUAUGCCUAGGCUUUCGAUAGCUUCUUCCGGCUCCUUUUUCGUCCGGCUUUUCCCUAGGCUGUUUGCUAGUCUCUCUCUCCGGUAAUUUCCCUAGGCUGUUUACUAGUUUCUCUCUCCGAUAUUUUCCCUAGUUCUUCCCGUUUCUUCCCUCCUAAGUUUUUUAUCCGUCCUAGGUUUCCUAUCCGAGUCACGUUUCUUCCCUCCUAAGUUUUCUAUCCGUCCUAGGUUUCCUAUCCGAGUCACGGCACCAUUAUGUCGCUCCCCCUCUUCGUGGAGGAGCAACACUGAACCC